GGCACUGCGCAGGCGGCAGCGGCGCGGAGUUUCCUCCCCUUCUCCUGCCCCAUCCUGCCCCGCGCGGUGCAUGCUGGGAGUUUCCUGCCCACAGAGGAAACGACUCAGGAGAGGUUAACCUUACAGCGUCCAUCCCCCUCCCCUUAUACACCUUCCUCACGCCAGAUAGAUGUUUCUAUCGCGAUAGAGAGAGGGACUACCCUAAAGAGCUUCCGGAACUGCUCCCUGAUGAGGCUGCAGCCAUUUUUAAGCCCUUAAUUCUGUGCGCAUGGACCUGAGCGAAGACGACAGUGUCGUGAGUAUUGCGGAAGCCCUUCGGUUGGGUGGGAUUCGACUGCCUGGUGUGGAAGAGCCUGUUUGAGACGGUGUCUGACUCCAAAGUGAGUGUGGAGGUCUUCGCGGUUCCAAACUCCCGUGAGAGACUUGGCCAGUGAAGGACCAAAGCAAUUCCUAUAGGAUUCGUGGGUGGGUUAAAAGAGGGUCAUUUAACCUCCUGCAAGACACUCUUUAGGCAGUCAGGAAAGAUGGGUCAAACUAUACUAAGGACCCAAGACCCUAACAGAGGGAGCGAAUCAAAGUUACCAGAUUAUUUCCCCAGAUAGCCUGUUGGGUUUAAUGAUUAAAUAUUGGAAUGAUAGGGGCCCCAGAAAAGGGAAAACAAAACCGAAAUUAGUCCAUUAUUGUAUGAUAAUAAGGCCAAAGGAACCAAUACAUCCACAUGUUUAUUGGCCUAUGUUUGGGUCAUUUGAGGACUUUGGAGGGUUUGUCAAGCCCUGGUAGAAUAUGUGAGCAACAAGAAAAUAUGUAGCCUGGAGGAGGGUGAAUAUGCUGACCUCUGGGAACUAUCAGCAGAAAGGUUAUAGCGCUGUAUGCUCUAAAAGCAGAAAGAGACAGAAGGGAGAAGAGGGAGGAAUGGGAGCCCUUAGAUGACUUACUGCCCAAUCCAGCCCCCCCCCCCACCUCGCUGCUGCUGCUUCAGCCCCUCCCCGCCUCUCCCCCUUGCUGCCGCAGCCGCUUCAGCCUCUCUCUCUUCAGCUUCCCCUUUUGUGGUGGCUCCAGCCCCAGUGCCGCCCACUAGAAUGAGGAAUAGUACAAGGAAGAAUGUAGGAGCUGACCUGUAUCCACUAAGGGAAGUCCCUUUAGGGGGCAAUCAAGGAGGGAUAGGAUUCGUGGCCGUACCAUUGAGUAUGACUGAUGUAAGAAAUUUUAAGAAGGAAAUGGGAACGAUAUUGGAUGAUCCCUUAGGGGUGGCUGAAAGACUAGAUCAAUUUUUAGGUCCCAGCACAUACACGUGGGAGGAAAUACAGUCAAUUUUGGGUAUCCUAUUUACCAUCGAAGAGAAAGGGAUGACGAGACAAGCAGGAAUGAGAACAUGGGAACACCAGAAUCAGAAUGGCCCCUGACAGAGAUCAGAAAUGGCCAAAUGUGGAUCCCCAUUGGGAUCAUCAGCAACCCUUUGGAAGGCAGAGUAUGAGAGACCUAAGAACCCUAAUUAUACAAGGAACAAAGGAAGUGGUCCCCUGAGGACAGAAUAUAAACAAGGCCUUUGAGGAAGAACAAGGAAAAGAUGAGUCUCCAACAUUAUGGAUGGAAAGACUAAGAGUUUACGAAUGUAUUCAGGAAUAGAUCCUAAUUCAGUGGCAGGGGUUACUCUCCUAAGGACACAACUUGUGGCCAAAGCUUGGGAAGUCAUUAGAAGGAAACUUGAAAAAUUGGAAAAUCGGCAGGAGAGGGAUUAGAGGAGUUAGAGAAGCCCAGAAAGAAUAGGUCCGAAGGGACGCAGAAAAACAGAAAGCAAGAGCUAAGAUCCCUGUAGCAGCAGUAAGGAAGGGUUGGAAAGUACAAGCUACAACUAAAGAAUUAAAAGGGACAGGGCCCAAGGGGCCUCUGGAGAAUCAGAGUGCAAGAGAAAGAGAACCUCCUGUGUGUUAUUAUUGCAACAAGAGGGGACAUAUCCAGAAAUAUUGCCACAAAAUGACACAGGGUGAGAAAUUAUUCAAGGAAGAUUAGAGGAGUCAGGAGCUAUAUCUUUUGGGGACCCCACCAUCUACAGAGCCCUUGAUAAAAUUAUUAAUAGGUCCCCAUAAGGAGGAAGUGGAGUUUUUAGUGGACACAGGAGCUGAGAAGACCACCAUUAAAAGAAAUAGAAGCAGAAGAUAAAAUUUGUCUGAAUGAUUUGUUAUUAUUACUGGAGGCAGAGCAUAACCUACUAGGACAAGAAAACUGGGGAUUCAGAGCGAGGGAAAUAAAUUCCAGGUGAGGAUGUGCACCCUAAGGCAAAGGGAUGGAGAACAUAUUAAACCCCUCUGUGUGGUCUGAUGGUCAGGAGAUGGGGAAAACAGAGAUGGAUCCCAUCGAAAUACAUAGAAGGGAUUCUCAAUGUCCAAUCAGAAUAAAGCAAUAUCAAAUUUCCCAAGAGGGACGUAAAGGACUCAAACCAAUUGUAGAUAGAUUGUUACAACAGGGGCUCUUGGCACCUUGUAUGUCCCCACACAACACUCCAGUCUUACCAGUUAAGAAGCCAGAUGGCUCCUUUAGGAUGGUACAGGAUCUCAGAGUGGUAAAUCAGAGGAUAGUCACUAAACUCCCUGUGGUAGCAAUCCCUCAUGCCCUAUUAAACUAUUUGCCUCCAGAAUUUCAGUGGUACAGUGUAAUAGACCUAAGGGAUGCCUUCUGGGCUUGUCCACUAAAGGAAGAAUCAAGGGAUUACUUUGCUUUUGAAUGGGAAGAUCCAGAGGCAGGGAGAAGACAACAAUUGAGGUGGAUGGUAUUACCUCAGGGAUUUACAGAGUUCCUCAACUUAUUUACUUAUUUGGUCAAACAUUGGAGAGAUUAUUAGAGCAGAUGGUGUUUCCAGAGGGGACAAAAUUGUUGCAGUAUGUGGAUGACUUAUUGAUAGCAGGAAAAACUGAAGAGGCAGUCCGAGAAGCCACCAUAUAGACUCUAUUUUUUUUUUUUUGGAGCAAAAGGACUUAAGGUAUCAAACAGAAGCUACAAUUUGUGGAUCAAGAAGUAAAGUAUUUAGGACAUUGGUUGAGCAAAGGGGAAAAAGAAACUAGACCCUGAAAGAAUAUCUGGGAUCUUGGGGAUUAAGACUCCAGAAAAUAAGAAGGAAGUCAGACAGUUAUUGGGACUUCUUGAGUAUUGUAGACAGUGGGUAGAAGGAUAUAGCAAAAGGGUAAAAUACUUACUAGUUAUAUAACCCAAUGUGUGGAAACUUACCCAGUGAGCAGAGCAACUGCACAUAUGGUGAUAAAGGUAUUAUUGGAAAAUACAAUACCAAGGUAUGGGGUAGUGCAACAUAUUGAUUCUGAUCAAGUGACACAUUUUACCUCAAAAAUAAUUAGGAAACUAUCAGAAACCUUAGGUAUUUCAUGGGAAUAUCACGCUCCGUGGCACCCCCAGAGUUCAGGGAAGGUUGCACAAACACUAAAAUUAAACACUAAAACAACAAUUAGCAAAAUUAAUGUUGGAAACUCAAUUACCAUGGAUUAAAUGUCUGCCUAUAGCAUUAUUAAACCUAAGGACGAAGCCACAGAGCAGCACAGGACUUUCCCCUAUGAAAUGCUAUAGGGAAUGCCACAUUGGGCUGGGAUGGCCAUGGGUAACAAACUGAUAGAGGAUAAGAACAUAUAGAAGUAUGUCAUAGAAAUCUUCAACAGGCAAGAUGAAUUACGGGAGAUGGGGAUGCUAGAUCAAACUCCACCUCUGGGGUUUGCAAUCCAUAAAAUUAAACCUGGUGAUAAGGUACUGAUAAAGACUUGGAAAGAAGAAACUCUGUUAACUAUGUGGGAAGGCCCUUUUCUUGUGUUGUUCACCACAGAAAUGGCCAUCAGCACAGCAGAAAAAGGACGGACACAUGCCUCGCAAGUAAAAGCACCUGUCCAGGAGUGGCAAGUGACUUCGGACCCAGGAGAAACAAAAGUGACACUAAGGAGGCAAUAAGAUAAGCACUGGUGGAAUGUCUAAAAACUUAUCACUCCUAGGGGACUAAUUGGGACUUCAUAACCAAUACUCAAAACUGGCAACAGGUGUUGAAAUUGUUAAAAACAGGGGGGUUGUUUAGUGGGGAAGAGUUUUUGUUUGGUUUUGUUUGUUUGUUUGUUUGGUUUGGUUGUUUGUUUUCUUUUAAUUUAAUUUGUGACACAUAUUUCAGGAAAAGCAAAAAGGGCAGUGAGAGGCACCCAAGGAAAUAAAAAGAGGGCAGGACCAGAGUGGGAACCAGUGCUGUGGCUGAAGAAGGUCUGCCGAGGGCUGCAACCCCUCUGGGCUGUGAUCGCCGAGUAACACGGCCCUGACCGCACCUCUCCUGUGCAUAUUUGGGUUAAGUCUCCUAGCCAUGGGACAUGCCCAGAAUUGCAGUGACUGCAUCACUGCAACUCGGAGGGGCAAAAUUGUUUCUCAAACACUGGUGUACUGUACAAUUUAUGAGUGCAAAGGACAAAAGUUAGAUCCUUGCUAUCAAAACCAAACAGAAUAUGCCAGGUGUAAUGAGAAGGGAAAAAUCACUUGUUAUGAUCCAAAGGAAGUUCCCUAUCUAUAGUGGGUAGAAAUAAGGGCAAAUGAUGGGAAAGGAAAAUUGUCAGGAAGAAGCCAAAUGGCCACUGACUGCAGCCAACCCCUUUGGGUAACUUCUGAUGCUUGCCAGGCUACUGACAACGACGGUGCUUCAAAUGGUGGGAACAUGGGGUGGGCAAGGAAAAUACAUUUUGCCCAGAGGAUCCUGGCCAAAGCCGCCAGUAUCGUAGGGAAAAUCACAACAUUUGGUAUUUCAUUCAUUUUGUCAUGAAACAGAAUCAGGAGUUAGGUAUGGGAUUCCAACAGUUGCUAAAAAUCUUUUUGUAAAUUUGGCUGAGAACAUUGCAAAAUCAUUGAAUGUAACCAAUUGUUCUGUCUGUGGAGGUACCAAUCAAGGAGAUCAAUGGCCCUGGGAAUCAGUGGAAGCCAACAUCUCUGAUCCUAACACCUGGAAAGUGGAGAGAGGUAAUAGAAAGCAGCAGUGGGUCCUACAAACCAGUAAAAUUGGAAGGAGUUGCUGGCAGAGACUGGGUGAUGGUCAAUUUGUGGGGAAUUUGGAAUGUGAAGGGGGUUAUGAGUGGAAUAAAGCUAAAAAUCCAUGGGAAAGUUGGGGCACUCCUCUGGAGAUGCCAUCCAAAUUGAGAAAUUGGACUAAUGGUAGCACAAUCAUAAAAGGGUGGCCAUCCAUGGGUGGAUAUUAUUGGAUAUGUGGGAGAGUAGCCUAUGCUCACCUACCCAAAAAUUGGGUAGGAUCAUGUGUAUUGGGGACAAUCAGGCCCAGCUUCUUCCUGUUACCUAUCUCCAAGGGAGAAAGAUUAGGCGUUCAGCUGUACACUGAGACUGAUGAGUUAAGAAGGGCCAGGAGGGAUCUCCAAAUAGGAAACUGGAGAGACAAGGAGUGGCCUCCCGAAAGGAUCAUUGCCUAUUAUGAUCCUGCAACAUGGGCAGAAGAUGGAUCUUGGGGUUAUGGAACCCCAAUCUAUAUGCUUAAUAGAAUAAUUAGACUGCAAGCAGUAGUAGAACUAGUAGUAAACAAAACUGGAGAUGCCUUGAACCUGGUAGCGAAGCAAAAUACCCAAAUGAGACCUGCAAUAGAUCAAAUAGAUUAGCAUUAGGCUAUUUACUAGCUCAAGAAGGAUGUGUGUGUGGGAAAUUCAACCUAACCAACUGCUGUCUGGAAAUAGAUGAUGAAGGAAAUGCUGUUAACCAACUGGUAAAAGAGAUGAAGAAAAUUGCUCAUGUCCUGGUACAAACCUGGAAUGGGAUAAACUUAGGGAGUUGGUGGGAUAAGUGGGGGUGAUUGGUUUACUAAAUUGUCUUUAGUGGGAGGGGGAGUACUGAUUGUAGUAUUAAUUGUACCCUGUGUCAUUCCAUGUUUUGUAAGACUGAUCACGAUGGUUGUGCAAGGAAUGCAGGUAGCUGUUGUACCCCAUAACCCAGAAGAAAGAACCAAACCCCAACCUAAAAUGAUUAUUCAAGCGACUAAAGAAAGGAUAAAAGAUGGAGAGUUAAACUCUCUAGAGCAAUUAAUUGCCAGAUUUGAAGCUAGGACAUGAAUUAAUCUGAUCAAAAAGCAAAUGGGGGAUUGUGAGAAAUAUGUUUGAUCUGAUCAAUUCAUUGCAAGAGGCCACAGAGAGGGGGGGAAGGGGAUCUUUGAAAGGAGCUGCACUCCUCCUUGCACAACCAUCACAAAAGUAUGCACUUGGCUUAAGAUAACAGAGUUAUAAAUAAUUAGAAACUAGAAAGGUUGGUGGAGGAGGGAGGCAGAUGGAAGAGACAGCCUCUGUGCAUGAGCAAACAGAGGAAGAGCCAUACAAAGGACACUACUAGUUUGGAGUUCGUGGAAAGGUCACUUGGGGAAGACCUCUUACUGCAUCACUGAAGACCACCAGAGGGACCACCGGGCAAAAAGAGACAUGUGUGGAAGAGACACCUCCCAUUUUUGGAACUGAUAAGGAAAACCCAACCUUUUCUUCGAACUAGUAAUGAAUCUGUAAUAGAACAGGAUCUAAAAAGAGAAGACUGAAAACAAAGGCUGUGCGUUAGGGUAGCGCAAAGCUUCCCCACGCACUCCCCUCAGGCGGAGUCGGCGCCUCUCGGACGGGUUCCUGGUGGCCUCGGCGGGCUCCGAUGGCCCUCGCCAGGCAACAGCUGCGCCACCGGCGCCUUGUGCCUUGGACUCCCAGCGUCGUGAGGCUUGGAAGGGACCUCUGGAGGUCAACCAGUCCAGCCUCCUGCUCAAGCGGGGCAAGCCCAGCGGAGCAAUGGCCAGCUGGGCUUGGAAGCUCUCUGCACAAGGAGCUUCUCCAAGUGCCAGACUGUUGGAUUUCAUUAAAUUUCUCCCUGCCCAGCU